UCGAGCGAUACCCUGGAUGGAGAGAUUGAAGCCGCAAGGCGGAUGUCGAUUUGUCCGGGGAUAUAGCGGCAGACUGGUGAGGAACACGUGAGUAAUAUACCUCCAAGUUGGGAAUAGCCUUGCGAAAGUGAGGGUAAUACCCGAUGUGUUUACGGCGGCGCAAGCCGCUGCGAGUAAAGGUGCACCGGCGAAAGCCGGGGUGCCGCUUGAAGAUUAGCUCGCGUCCUAUCAUCUAGGUGGUGGGGUAAUGGCCUACCAAGGCUUUUGACGGGUAGCUGGCCUGAGAGGGUGGUCAGCCACACGGGGACUGAGACACUGCCCCGACUCCUACGGGAGGCUGCAGUCGAGGAUCUUUAGCAAUGGGCGAAAGCCUGACUAUGCGACGCCGCGUGAGGGAUGAAGGUUUUCGGAUCGUAAACCUCUUUC
rnacentral:rRNA from 1 species